ACGGAGGGUGCAAGCGUUGUUCGGAAUCACUGGGCGUAAAGCGCGUGUAGGCGGCUUGACAAGUCGAAUGUGAAAGCCCGGGGCUCAACCUCGGAAGUGCAUUCGAAACUGUCAGGCUUGAGUACGGGAGAGGGAAGUGGAAUUCCUGGUGUAGAGGUGAAAUUCGUAGAUAUCAGGAGGAACACCGGUGGCGAAGGCGGCUUCCUGGACCGAUACUGACGCUGAGACGCGAAAGCGUGGGGAGCAAACAG
rnacentral:rRNA from 1 species